rnacentral:rRNA from 1 species
GAUGAACGCUGGCGGCAUGCCUUACACAUGCAAGUCGAACGGUAACGCGGGGCAACCUGGCGACGAGUGGCGAACGGGUGAGUAAUGCAUCGGAACGUGCCUGGUAGUGGGGGAUAACUGCUCGAAAGAGCAGCUAAUACCGCAUACGACCUGAGGGUGAAAGGGGGGGAUCGCAAGACCUCUCGCUAUCGGAGCGACCGAUGUCGGAUUAGCUAGUUGGUGGGGUAAAGGCCCACCAAGGCAACGAUCCGUAGCUGGUCUGAGAGGACGACCAGCCACACUGGGACUGAGACACGGCCCAGACUCCUACGGGAGGCAGCAGUGGGGAAUUUUGGACAAUGGACGCAAGUCUGAUCCAGCAAUGCCGCGUGCGGGAAGAAGGCCUUCGGGUUGUAAACCGCUUUUGUCGGGGAAGAAAUCUUCUGGGUUAAUACCUCGGGAGGAUGACGGUACCUGAAGAAUAAGCACCGGCUAACUACGUGCCAGCCGCCGCAGUAAGAC